CCUACGGGAGGCAGCAGUGAGGAAUAUUGGUCAAUGGACGGAAGUCUGAACCAGCCAUGCCGCGUGCAGGAAGACGGCUCUAUGAGUUGUAAACUGCUUUUGUACAAGGGUAAACCUGAAUACGUGUAUUCGGCUGAAAGUACUGUACGAAUAAGGAUCGGCUAACUACGUGCCAGCAGCCGCGGUAAUACGGAGGGUCCAAGCGUUAUCCGGAUUUAUUGGGUUUAAAGGGUGCGUAGGCGGAUUGAUAAGUUAGAGGUGAAAUGUCCGAGCUUAACUCGGGAACUGCCUCUAAUACUGUUGAUCUAGAGAGUAGAUGCGGUAGGCGGAAUGUAUGGUGUAGCGGUGAAAUGCUUAGAGAUCAUACAGAACACCGAUUGCGAAGGCAGCUUACCAAUCUAUAUCUGACGUUGAGGCACGAAAGCGUGGGGAGCAAACAGGAUUAGAUACCCUGGUAGUC
rnacentral:rRNA from 1 species